rnacentral:rRNA from 1 species
CUCUGCUCAAUGAUUCUUAAAUAGCCGCAGUACCCUGACUGUGCAAAGGUAGCAUAAUCAUUUGGCUUAUAAUUGAAGUCUGGCAUGAACGAGAAUUCGGGUAUUAGCUAUCUUAAUUAAAUAUUUUAAAAUUCCUUAAUAAGUGAAAAUGCUUAUGAUUAGAAAAUAGACGAGAAGACCCUAGAAAUUUUUAUGCAAUUUUCAAUUGAGCAUUUUGUUGGGGCGACAAGGUAGCAUUUAACCUACUUUUAUUAUACGAAAUUUAUUAAUUGGUUAAUUAAAUUACUCUAGGGAUAACAGCAUAAUAUUAAAAAGUUUGUGACCUCGAUGUUGGACUAGGGAAGAAGUUACUUAGAAGGUAACCUCGUAUGCUCUGUUCGAGCAAUUUACUCCUACGUGAUCUGAUUUCAGACCGGA